CCUACGGGUGGCAGCAGUGAGGAAUAUUGGUCAAUGGGCGAGAGCCUGACCCAGCCAAGUCGCGUGAAGGAUGAAGGAUCUAUGUAUUGUAAACUUCUUUUAUAUGGGAACAAAGUGUGGGACGCGUUCCUUUUUGUAUGUACCUUAUGAAUAAGCAUCGGCUAACUCCGUGACAGCAGCCGCGGUAAUACGGAGGAUGCGAGCGUUCUCCGGAUUUAUUGGGUUUAAAGGGUGCGUAGGUGGUUAAUUAAGUCAGCGGUGAAAGUUUGUGGCUCAACCAUAAGACUGCCGUUGAAACUGGUUGACUUGAGUAUAUGAGAGGUAGGCGGAAUGCGCGGUGUAGCGGUGAAAUGCAUAGAUAUCACGCAGAACUCCGAUUGCGAAGGCAGCUUACUGAACUAUAACUGACACUGAAGCACGAAAGCGUGGGGAUCAAACAGGAUUAGAUACCCCAGUAGUC
rnacentral:rRNA from 1 species